UACAGAGGGGGCAAGCGUUAUUCGGAAUUAUUGGGCGUAAAGGGCGCGUAGGCGGCUUGGCAAGUGGAUGGUGAAAUCCCUCGGCUUAACCGAGGAACUGCCGUCCAAACUGCUUCGCUUGAGACCGGGAGAGGUGAGUGGAAUUCCCAGUGUAGCGGUGAAAUGCGUAGAUAUUGGGAGGAACACCAGUGGCGAAGGCGGCUCACUGGACCGGUACUGACGCUGAUGCGCGAAAGUGCGGGGAUCAAACAGG
rnacentral:rRNA from 1 species